rnacentral:rRNA from 1 species
UUAUUAUAGCAAAGAGGAUACACCUGUUCCCAUACCGAACACAGAAGUUAAGCUCUUUAGCGGCAAUGGUACUUGGUUGGCAACCGCCUGGGAGAGUAG